GUACUUACCAGGCAGGAGAAAUACUGUGAUCACGAAGGUGGUUUUCCCAGGGCAAGGUUUAUCCAUUACACUCUGGAUGUGCUGAACCCUGUGAUUUUCCCAAAUUCAGAAAACUCGACUGGAUAAUUUGUGGUGGUGAGGGGACUGUGUUCACACUCUCUCCUG